CCUCCCAGGUCUCCCCCAUCCUGCCACCACCCCAGCAGAGAGACCCAUCGCUGCCAUCCUGGUCCCUGCCCUCCCUGUCACCAGGCCUGUCUGCUGGCUCUGCCACGAUGCCAACACCUCUGUCCCCAACCCUGCCAUGACCAAGUUAUGGUGAAGACCAGCGACAGGGUCCUAGCAGGUCCAUGGGAGCAGUCGUCAGAACCAGCGUUUGUCCGUAAAGCUCUCCCCUGCCCACCCUGUGUGGUCCCUAUACCCACGGCCUGUCUUGGAGACAU